rnacentral:rRNA from 1 species
ACGAACGCUGGCGGCAUGCCUAACACAUGCAAGUCGAACGAGACCUUCGGGUCUAGUGUCGCACGGGUGCGUAACGCGUGGGAACUUGUCCUUAGGUUCGGAAUAACUCCCCGACAGGGGUGCUAAUACCGGAUAAUGUCUUCGGACCACAGAUUUAUCGGCUUUGGAUGGGGCCGAGUUGGAUUAUCUAGUUUGUAGGGUAAAAGCCUACCAAGGCGACGAUCCAUAGCUGGUCUGAGAGGAUGAUCAGCAACACUGGGACUGAGACACGCCCCGGACACCAGCGAACGGAAGCAGUGCGGUAUGGUGCACAACGUGUGAGAGCCUGAGCCAGCAAUGUCGCGUAAGUGAUGAAUGCCUUAGGGUUGUAAGUGUCUUUUACCCGGGAUGAUAAUGACAGUACCGGUGGAAUAAGCUCCGGCUAACUCCGGG